rnacentral:rRNA from 1 species
UAUAAAGUAUAAUCCAUGCAUGUCUCAGUACUUGCUUUUACAAGGCGAAACCGCGAAUGGCUCAUUAAAUCAGUUAUGGUUCACUAGAUCGUACAGUUUACAUGGAUAACUGUGGUAAUUCUAGAGCUAAUACAUGCAUUCAGCUGGCUCUUUCGGGAGCCAGCGCAGUUAUUAGAAUAAAGCCAAUCCGGCCUUCGGGUCGGUAAAAUUGGUGACUCUGAAUAACCGAAGCGGAGCGCAUGGUCUCGUACCGGCGCCAGAUCUUUCAAGUGUCUGACUUAUCAGCUCGUAGGUAGGUUAUGUGCCUACCUAGGCUCUUACGGGUAACGGGGUGUCAGGGCCCGACACCGGAGAGGGAGCCUGAGAAACGGCUACCACAUCCAAGA